UACGGAGGGGGCUAGCGUUGUUCGGAAUUACUGGGCGUAAAGCGCACGUAGGCGGCUUUGUAAGUUAGAGGUGAAAGCCCGGAGCUCAACUCCGGAAUUGCCUUUAAGACUGCAUCGCUCGAAUCACGGAGAGGUGAGUGGAAUUCCGAGUGUAGAGGUGAAAUUCGUAGAUAUUCGGAAGAACACCAGUGGCGAAGGCGACUCACUGGACAUGUAUUGACGCUGAGGUGCGAAAGCGUGGGGAGCAAACAGG
rnacentral:rRNA from 1 species